CAGUAGCCGCGGUAAUACGUAGGGUGCGAGCGUUAAUCGGAAUUACUGGGCGUAAAGCGUGCGCAGGCGGUUCGUUAAGACAGAUGUGAAAUCCCCGGGCUUAACCUGGGAACUGCAUUUGUGACUGCAUGGCUAGAGUGCGGCAGAGGGGGAUGGAAUUCCGCGUGUAGCAGUGAAAUGCGUAGAUAUGCGGAGGAACACCGAUGGCGAAGGCAAUCCCCUGGGCCUGCACUGACGCUCAUGCACGAAAGCGUGGGGAGCAAACAGGAUUAGAUACCCCCGUAGUCCCUGUCUCUUAUAC
rnacentral:rRNA from 1 species